AGAGUUUGAUCCUGGCUCAGAUUGAACGCUGGCGGCAUGCCUUACACAUGCAAGUCGAACGGCAGCACGGAGCUUGCUCUGGUGGCGAGUGGCGAACGGGUGAGUAAUAUAUCGGAACGUACCCUAGAGUGGGGGAUAACGUAGCGAAAGUUACGCUAAUACCGCAUACGAUCUAAGGAUGAAAGUGGGGGAUCGCAAGACCUCAUGCUCGUGGAGCGGCCGAUAUCUGAUUAGCUAGUUGGUAGGGUAAAAGCCUACCAAGGCAUCGAUCAGUAGCUGGUCUGAGAGGACGACCAGCCACACUGGAACUGAGACACGGUCCAGACUCCUACGGGAGGCAGCAGUGGGGAAUUUUGGACAAUGGGCGAAAGCCUGAUCCAGCAAUGCCGCGUGAGUGAAGAAGGCCUUCGGGUUGUAAAGCUCUUUUGUCAGGGAAGAAACGGUGAGAGCUAAUAUCUCUUGCUAAUGACGGUACCUGAAGAAUUAGCACCGGCUAACUACGUGCCAGCAGCCGCGGUAAUACGUAGGGUGCAAGCGUUAAUCGGAAUUACUGGGCGUAAAGCGUGCGCAGGCGGUUUUGUAAGUCUGAUGUGAAAUCCCCGGGCUCAACCUGGGAAUUGCAUUGGAGACUGCAA
rnacentral:rRNA from 1 species